rnacentral:rRNA from 1 species
UGCCUGAUGGAGGGGGAUAACUACUGGAAACGGUAGCUAAUACCGCAUAAUGUCGCAAGACCAAAGUGGGGGACCUUCGGGCCUCAUGCCAUCAGAUGUGCCCAGAUGGGAUUAGCUAGUAGGUGGGGUAACGGCUCACCUAGGCGACGAUCCCUAGCUGGUCUGAGAGGAUGACCAGCCACACUGGAACUGAGACACGGUCCAGACUCCUACGGGAGGCAGCAGUGGGGAAUAUUGCACAAUGGGCGCAAGCCUGAUGCAGCCAUGCCGCGUGUGUGAAGAAGGCCUUCGGGUUGUAAAGCACUUUCAGCG